rnacentral:lncRNA from 10 species
ACUUUUCUGUUCGGCAGAUUUGAAAAAGUCACAUGGAAAUUUCCUUCAGACUCUCAUUUAUCAACUGACUGAUAAUGGUGGAGCAAUAAGUAAACAUGUCCUCAGGGAAAAUGGAGAAGGCUAAAGCUCCCUCCCAACCUAGGAGAGACAGCCAGGCACGCCAACAAGGCGGUGUUCAGGUACCACCCAGAGGGAGAGUGCCCAUGCCAAGAGCUGGGGCAGUGGGGACAACAAGAUGGCCAACAGGAGGGACCGCUCUUAUCCUGAACAUUUCCUUUCAAUCAAAGGGCAUUUUGACUUAAAAACAAAAAAUUUCUUCCUUCUACAAAUAAUGAAAAGUCUCAUUUCUCUAAACUGAAAGAUCCCACUUUACAAUAUUUAAAAUAUAUAUAGAUAUACACACACAUAUACAUAAAUAUUUUACUUUUUAAAGAAAUAUUUGGUCUUUUUCUCCUGCUGGGGAGUUAUGAACAAAGUUAGCAAUCACUGCAGUCUUUCUCUGCAGCAUAUCCCAGCAUCAUGGAGGCCACCUCUGAAGGCAGACCUACUGAGUCUACCUUCACUUCUCAACGUGCAUUUUCUAAGUCAUUAUCGUGUUAAGAGCUCCAUUUCAGGAAGAAGAAAAAGCCACAAAAUGGACAUAAGUAUAGUGGGAAACCACACACACACACACACACACACGUGUGCACGCAAAUUAGGAAACAUGAAACGAACCAUUUGCUGAUUGGAAGAAAAGUGUUGUCAGCAGCAGAUGAAACAAACCGAAGCAGAAAGGAAGGGGGAAGAGAAGACACUGUUAGUUAUUAAGCCCAGUAGACAUACAAAGAGGACAAUGCUAAUCCAUGGGUGCAGAAUGUGUACACUUCAUCUUAUUCUCGAUGGCUCUACCUAGACCUUCCCUUGGCUCACAUAUACCGUGAGUUUCCCCCAACACCCUUCCUACCUUAUCUGAGGCCUUUAUCUUUAACCCCACGUUACAGCUAAAAGUUAAGCACUGUAAUUGACACAUUUCUGUAGCCAGAGGUUUCUGGAUAGAGUCAAGGUUGGGAUAGUUGAGGCUACACAUAGACUCCGUUGGUGAUCUCUUUCCUGAGAUUUUUCUUCAGUGUUCUAUGCACAUCACUCACUCUACCUGAACACAGGUAAUCUCAUUCCCACAGGAGAACAUCCUCAGCCUUGGGGCACGCAUCCCCAGUCAGCUCUUUCCACAGUGCUCCUACUGCUUCUGCUACCUUCCCUUCCUAGAGACUGGAACACAGCCUCUCCUGUGAUUGGAGGUGGUUAUGUGAUACGAUCAUAGAAAUGUGAACUUUCUUCCCCAAAUUAGAAGACAGAGCCAUGUGAGAAGCCCUUUGCAUUUCCCUGCCUUGUCCUCCCCCUGAUUCCAUCCAGAAAGCUCUGCGAUGCUUGAGGUACAAUAGCCAACCGGGGAUCAGACGGACAAGAACUACACGCCUAGCAGAGCAGCAAGCAGGAAGGAAGGGCC